AAUAGAUACCCCAGGUAGUCCACGCCGUAAACGAUGAGUGCUAAGUGUUGGAGGGUUUCCGCCCUUCAGUGCUGCAGCUAACGCAUUAAGCACUCCGCCUGGGGGAGUACGGUCGCAAGACUGAAACUCAAAGGAAUUGACGGGGGGCCCGCACAAGCGGUGGAGCAUGUGGUUUAAUUCGAAGCAACGCGAAGAACCUUACCAGGUCUUGACAUCUCCUGACCGCCCUGGAGACAGGGUCUUCCCUUCGGGGACAGGAUGGACAGGUGGUGCAUGGUUGUCGUCAGCUCGUGUCGUGAGAUGUUGGGUUAAGUCCCGCAACGAGCGCAACCCUUGGUUCUAGUUGCCAGCAUUCAGUUGGGGCACUCUAGAGCGACUGCCGGCGACAAGUCGGAGGAAGGUGGGGAUGACGUCAAAUCAUCAUGCCCCGUUAUGACCUGGGCUACACACGUGCUACAAUGGAUGGUACCAAAGGGCGAGCGAAGCCGCGAGGCGGAGCGAAUCCCGAGAAAACCAUUCUCAGUUCGGAUUG
rnacentral:rRNA from 1 species